rnacentral:tRNA from 1 species
GCGCCCGUGGCUCAAUGGAUAGAGCAUCGGACUUCUAAUCCGACGGUUGUGGGUUCGAGUCCCGCCGGGCGCACCA